rnacentral:rRNA from 1 species
UAUCCGAAAGACUCUCGGCAACGGAUAUCUCGGCUCUUGCAUCGAUGAAGAACGUAGCGAAAUGCGAUACUUGGUGUGAAUUGCAGAAUCCCGUGAACCAUCGAGUCUUUGAACGCAAGUUGCGCCCGAAGCCAUUAGGCUGAGGGCACGCCUGCCUGGGUGUUGCA